rnacentral:rRNA from 1 species
GACGAACGUUGGCGGCGUGCUUAAUACAUGCAAGUCAACUGAAGCAGUGGUAGCAAUAUCGCUGUGGAGGUGGCGCACGGGUGAGUAACACGUAGGUAAUCUGCCUUCAGGUCUGGCAUAACUCCGGGAAACCGGGGCUAAUAGCAGAUGAUGCAGCGGCUCGACAUCGAGACAGUUGUUAAAGCUAUGGCGCCUGAAGAUGAGCCUGCGUCUGAUUAGCUAGUUGGCGGGGUAACGGCCCACCAAGGCAACGAUCAGUAGCUGGUCUGAGAGGAUGAUCAGCCACACUGGAACUGAGACACGGUCCAGACGCCUACGGGGGGCAGCAGUAAGGAAUAUUGCUCAAUGGGAGAAAUCCUGAAGCAGCAACGCCGCGUGAGGGACGAAGGGCUUUUGCUUGUAAACCUCUGUAGUGAGAGAAAAAAAUCCCAAUCUUUGGGACAUGAUGGUAUCUCAAAAGUAAGCCCCGGCUAACUACGUG